rnacentral:rRNA from 1 species
AUUGAACGCUGGCGGCAUGCCUUACACAUGCAAGUCGAACGGCAGCACGGGGGCAACCCUGGUGGCGAGUGGCGAACGGGUGAGUAAUACAUCGGAACGUACCCAGUAGUGGGGGAUAGCCCGGCGAAAGCCGGAUUAAUACCGCAUACGACCUACGGGUGAAAGCGGGGGAUCGCAAGACCUCGUGCUACCGGAGCGGCCGAUGUCAGAUUAGGUUGUUGGUGGGGUAAAAGCCUACCAAGCCGACGAUCUGUAGCUGGUCUGAGAGGACGACCAGCCACACUGGGACUGAGACACGGCCCAGACUCCUACGGGAGGCAGCAGUGGGGAAUUUUGGACAAUGGGCGCGAGCCUGAUCCAGCCAUGCCGCGUGCGGGAAGAAGGCCU